rnacentral:rRNA from 1 species
GAUGAACGCUGGCGGCGUGCCUAACACAUGCAAGUCGAACGGAGUCAUUUUGGAAAGUUCUUCGGAGCUGGAAUCUAUGACUUAGUGGCGGACGGGUGAGUAACGCGUGAGCAAUCUGCCUUUCAGAGGGGGAUAACAGCCGGAAACGGCUGCUAAUACCGCAUAAGCCCACAGCUCGGCAUCGAGCAGAGGGAAAAGGAGUGAUCCGCUUUGAGAUGGCCUCGCGUCCGAUUAGCUGGUUGGUGAGGUAACGGCCCACCAAGGCGACGAUCGGUAGCCGGACUGAGAGGUUGAACGGCCACAUUGGGACUGAGACACGGCCCAG